rnacentral:rRNA from 1 species
CCUACGGGAGGCAGCAGUGAGGAAUAUUUGUCAAUGGACGCAAGUCUGAACCAGCCAUGCCGCGUGCAGGAUGACGGCUCUAUGAGUUGUAAACUGCUUUUGUACGAGGGUAAACCCCGAUACGUGUACCGGGUUGAAAGUAUCGUACGAAUAAGGAUCGGCUAACUCCGUUCCAGCAGCCGCGGUAAUACGGAGGAUCCGACAGUUAUCCGGAAUUAUUGGGUUUAAAGGGUGCGUAGGCGGUUUGAUAAGUUAGAGGUGAAAUGUCGGGGCUCAACCCCGAAACUGCGUAUAAUACUGUUGGACUAGAGAAUAGUUGCGGUAGGCGGAAUGUAUGGUGUAGCAGUGAAAUGCUUAGAGAUCAUACAGAACACCGGUUGCGAAGGCAGGUUACCAAACUAUAUCUGACGUUGAGGCACGAAGGCGAGGGGAGCAAACGGGAUUAGAUACCCCUGUAGUC